rnacentral:lncRNA from 1 species
AUGGCUAUGAACUCUUAUUUAUCCUCAGUCACUUAUUAUUCAUAUUCAUAUAUUUAUCUUAUAUGACACUUACCCUGUAUGAGAGUUAGAUAAAGACAUGGUUAAGGUCUCCAUGAUUACAUGCAGUGCUCAUUGCUCAUUAUCCAAUGCAAGUCCCUUCCCAGUGGUAAAAAUAUAAAUAAUGAUACCUAGAAUACUCCUAGUUAAAAUGCUACAUCGGUAUUAUCUGUGCGCUUGCGGAUCCUUUAUUUUUUUAUUUUUUUAUUCCUAGAAAAGCAUAUAGAUUUAAUACCAGCACUUCUACAUCAUGUUCGGGAUGACAACCUAGCUUAAAUGAUGUUAAGUAAUUUUGACGUUGUUGCUAGGGAUAGGUUUAAGAGUCUAUUUUUAGUAGUUGCAUUAAGAAGUGUCAACAAGGGUCUAGUGCGUGUGUUUGGUGCCUAACCCUACUCACUUGGCACGCUGGCAUAGCCUCUGUAUACACCGGACACACCAACAGUAACACUGCAGCGUCCAGUGCCAAUGUCCAUUGAGACUACUCAACCAAAAGUUUGUCGAAUUGCGAACUUUCCAAAAUGAAGUUUGAUCCUCUCGAUCUAAGGACUUUCUCAAAGCUGCCUAGUGUUAGAUUUAUCAAGUGUGCACCACACCUAAACCUAAAGCCUUUUCUAGGUCAAGCUACCCGUUCGUUGCCCCCCUUAAUAGUACGAUUAAAGGAAAAACAAAUUCCUAAACUACUCUAAGCACCCUUCAACUCCGAAUGGCACUUAGACCUAGUCUAGUCUUGAUGAUGUCCAAUAAUCCUUUGAAAAUUGAAAUGAUUUCCACCAUCAAGUAGGCAUGAACGUCCUAGUCCAUCGAUCAUCAUUACCAUGACCUAACUCAAAUGAUUUUGCCACUGCAAAACACAUGUUAGUCAUAGUAAUCAACAUUGUCAUUAAUCACCAAAACUCACUAGGGGCCUAGAUGCUUUCAGU